rnacentral:rRNA from 1 species
CUGCUGCCUUCCGUAGGAGUCUGGGCCGUGUCUCAGUCCCAAUGUGGCCGUCCACCCUCUCAGGCCGGCUAUGGAUCGUCGGUUUGGUGGGCCGUUACCCCGCCAACUGCCUAAUCCAACGCGGACCCAUCCUAUGCCGCCUCAGCUUUUCACACCGUACCAUGCGGUACUGUGCGCUUAUGCGGUAUUAGCACCCGUUUCCGGAUGUUAUCCCCCUGCAUAGGGCAGGUUGUCCACGCGUUACUCACCCGUCCGCCG